GACGAACGCUGGCGGCGUGCUUAACACAUGCAAGUCGAACGAGAGGCGAACGGGUGAGUAAUACGUGGGUAAACUGCCCUCUAUUUGGGCUAAGCCUUGGAAACGGGGGCUAAUUCCGUACAACGGGGGAGUGGAUCGGGGCCUCUCCGCUUGUUGGGGGGGUGAUGGGCUACCAAGGUGGUGACGGGUAGACGGCCUGAGAGGGUGACCGGGCACAGUGGGACUGGGAUACGGCCCAUGAUCGGACGGGAGGCAGCAGUGUGUGAUAUUGGACAAGGGGCGAAAGACUGAUGCAGCGACGCCGCGUGGGGGAUGAAGGCUGUCGGGUUGUAAACCUGUUUCGCGAUCGAACGGGUAGUUGGAGAAGAAGCGCCGGCUAACUACGUGCCAGCAGCCGCGGUAAUUC
rnacentral:rRNA from 1 species